CAGCAGCCGCGGUAAUACGGAGGGCGCGAGCGUUACCCGGAUUUACUGGGCGUAAAGGGCGUGUAGGCGGCCUGGGGCGUCCCAUGUGAAAGGCCACGGCUCAACCGUGGAGGAGCGUGGGAUACGCUCAGGCUAGAGGGUGGGAGAGGGUGGUGGAAUUCCCGGAGUAGCGGUGAAAUGCGCAGAUACCGGGAGGAACGCCGAUGGCGAAGGCAGCCACCUGGUCCACUUCUGACGCUGAGACGCGAAAGCCAGGGGAGCGAACGGGAUUAGAUACCCGCGUAGUCCCUGUCUCUUAUAC
rnacentral:rRNA from 1 species